rnacentral:rRNA from 1 species
CAGCCCUUGACAUCCUACGACCGCUGCAGAGAUGCAGUUUCCACUUCGGUGGCGUAGAGACAGGUGCUGCAUGGCUGUCGUCAGCUCGUGUCGUGAGAUGUUGGGUUAAGUCCCGCAACGAGCGCAACCCUCGCCCUUAGUUGCCAGCAUUCAGUUGGGCACUCUAAGGGGACUGCCGGUGAUAAGCCGAGAGGAAGGUGGGGAUGACGUCAAGUCCUCAUGGCCCUUACGGGCUGGGCUACACACGUGCUACAAUGGUGGUGACAGUGGGCAGCGAGGCCGCGAGGCCGAGCUAAUCUCCAAAAGCCAUCUCAGUUCGGAUUGCACUCUGCAACUCGAGUGCAUGAAGUUGGAAUCGCUAGUAAUCGCGGAUCAGCAUGCCGCGGUGAAUACGUUCCC